rnacentral:rRNA from 1 species
UACGGAGGGGGGCUAGCGUUGUUCGGAAUUACUGGGCGUAAAGCGCGCGUAGGCGGACCUGCAAGUCGGGGGUGAAAGCCCGAGGCUCAACCUCGGAACUGCCUUCGAUACUGCGGGUCUCGAGUCCGGGAGAGGUGAGUGGAAUUCCUAGUGUAGGAGGUGAAAUUCGUAGAUAUUAGGAAGAACACCAGGUGGCGAAGGCGGGUCUGCUGGGCAG